GAUGAACGCUGGCGGCGUGCCUAAUACAUGCAAGUCGAGCGAACAGACGAGGAGCUUGCUCCUCUGACGUUAGCGGCGGACGGGUGAGUAACACGUGGAUAACCUACCUAUAAGACUGGGAUAACUUCGGGAAACCGGAGCUAAUACCGGAUAAUAUAUUGAACCGCAUGGUUCAAUAGUGAAAGACGGUUUUGCUGUCACUUAUAGAUGGAUCCGCGCCGCAUUAGCUAGUUGGUAAGGUAACGCCUUACCAAGGCAACGAGGCGUAGCCGACCUGAAAGGGUGAUCGGCCACACUGGAACUUGAACACGGUCCAGACUCCUACGGGAGGCAGCAGUAGGGAAUCUUCCGCAAUGGGCGAAAGCCUGACGGAGCAACGCCGCGUGAGUGGUGAAGGUCUUCGGAUCGUAAAACUCUGUUAUUAGGGAAGAACAAAUGUGUAAGUAGCUAUGCACGUCUUGACGGUACCUAAUCAGAAAGCCACGGCUAACUACGUG
rnacentral:rRNA from 1 species